rnacentral:lncRNA from 1 species
UAUAAGCCUAGUCCAUGAGUCCCACAUUGUAUGGGGGUGAUCCAUUCUUGAAUCCGGUCCGGUCCCUCUUCAGAAUUGAGAACCAGACCGAAGGACCUGUUUCUAGUUUUCAUAAUCAGAGACUAGAUUGGCCCAGUUUGGUUCCCGAGUGAUCGAAAACUAGGAAUCGGACCAAAACCUGCGAAAACCACAUACAACUAGUUGAUUUGGUUUGGUUUGAUCUUGUUUAUGAGCCGGACUUGAUGCACAUCUUUUGUCAAACUUCGAGAUCUUAAUUUAAUUAAUUAAACAUGCAAAUCAAUUUAAUUUAAAGUCAUCACUAAUUUAAUAUUGAUAAAUUAGAAACCCAAAUAAAAUGUGAAGAAAUAUUUUACUUCUACGAAUAAGAGAUGUCAUUUUCUCAUAAAAAGCGACCUUUGAUAUUGCUGUACGCACUUUUGUAACUUUUCGUCUGCUUCAGGUAAUGACCCAGCAAUCUUUACGUCAAUUUAGGCUUACCUAAUGCCCGAACCCGUCUCUUUCGGUUUUUCCAUGACACAAUGUUGGAUGUUUUCUUGAUGCAGUUCAGCUUGUCGUAAAAAAGAAGAAAAGAUGUGUAGUUGAGCUGUCUACUGUCUAGUUGAGUUUCUAUAUGAAGUAGCUGGAGGAUAAUGCUGAGUUGCAGGCCGCUUAGUACAGAGUCUUGAG